rnacentral:rRNA from 1 species
UGUCCAGGCCCUACGGGGUGCAGCAGGCGCGAAACCUCCGCAAUGUGAGAAAUCGCGACGGGGGGAUCCCAAGUGCCAUUCUUAACGGGAUGGCUUUUCAUUAGUGUAAAGAGCUUUUUGGAAUAAGAGCUGGGCAAGACCGGUGCCAGCCGCCGCGGUAACACCGGCAGCUCUAGUGGUAGCAGUUUUUAUUGGGCCUAAAGCGUCCGUAGCCGGUUUAAUAAGUCUCUGGUGAAAUCCUGCAGCUUAACUGUGGGAAUUGCUGGAGAUACUAUUAGACUUGAGAUCGGGAGAGGUUAGAGGUACUCCCAGGGUAGAGGUGAAAUUCUGUAAUCCUGGGAGGACCGCCUGUUGCGAAGGCGUCUGACUGGAACGAUUCUGACGGUGAGGGACGAAAGCUAGGGGCGCGAACCGGAUUAGAUACCCGGGUAGUCCUAGCUGUAAACGAUGCGGACUUGGUGUUGGGGUGGCUUUGAGCUGUCCCAGUGCCGAAGGGAAGCUGUUAAGUCCGCCGCCUGGGAAGUACGGUCGCAAAACUGAAACUUAAAGGAAUUGGCGGGGGAGCACCACAACGCGUGGAGCCUGCGGUUUAAUUGGAUUCAACGCCGGG